rnacentral:lncRNA from 1 species
CGCAGCUUUAUACGACCGCAGAGGUUGAACCCUGAAUGGUUGGGGAAAGUAUGGACACAACAUUCAAGCUGGAUUCAGCUCUAAAUUUGGAUUGUGAUUAAAUAGUUGACACAGCAUAGGUUGGUGACACAGAAUGAAUGUGGUCUAAUGAACUUAAAAAAUAAAAAUUCGCUAUGCUGUUGAAUAUUAAUCCUCUCAAAAAAAUGUUUGAAGAAAUUUUCUUUUUAUUUAUGAAAUAUGAAAUGAGAAAAAUUGACCCCCCCCCCCAAUUUUGUUUUCACAUCCCCCUUUUCCUUAUUCCAAAACUGAUCUCAAUUCCAAAUUUUCUAAUGGAGUUUGCAACAAUAACUGCUCAUUUAAAUACAUCAUAAAAUAUUAAAAUGUAAAAAAAGUGCUUUUUAUCACUGAAUGGUAAAGAUUGUUUUAAUUUAUCAGUUGGUAGUAAAAGUGAAAAUACAUUGUAUAUUGUAUAAAACAAUGAUUUAAGUUGAUUCAACUACUAUUCUGGACAAAGAAAGAUAACUCAAAUUUUCAAAGAAUAUUGAAAAUAUCUUGC